ACACCGGCAGCUCUAGUGGUAGCAGUUUUUAUUGGGCCUAAAGCGUCCGUAGCCGGUUUAAUAAGUCUCUGGUGAAAUCCUGUAGCUUAACUGUGGGAAUUGCUGGAGAUACUAUUAGACUUGAGACCGGGAGAGGUUAGAGGUACUCCCAGGGUAGAGGUGAAAUUCUGUAAUCCUGGGAGGACCGCCUGUUGCGAAGGCGUCUAACUGGAACGGUUCUGACGGUGAGGGACGAAAGUUAGGGGCGCGAACCGGAUUAGAUACCCGGGUAGUCCUAACUGUAAACGAUGCGGACUUGGUGUUGGGGUGGCUUUGAGCUGCUCCAGUGCCGAAGGGAAGCUGUUAAGUCCGCCGCCUGGGAAGUACGGUCGCAAGACUGAAACUCAAAGGAAUUGGCGGGG
rnacentral:rRNA from 1 species